rnacentral:rRNA from 1 species
ACCCGCUGAACUUAAGCAUAUCAAUAAGCGGAGGAAAAGAAACUAACAAGGAUUCCCUUAGUAACGGCGAGUGAACUGGGAAGAGCUCAAAUUUGAAAUCUGGCUGUCUUCGAUAGUCCGAGUUGUAAUCUAUAGAAGCGUUUUCCGUGCUGAACUGUGUCUAAGUCCCUUGGAACAGGGUAUCAAAGAGGGUGACAAUCCCGUACUUGACACAAUCAUCAGUGCUCUGUGAUACGUUCUCUACGAGUCGAGUUGUUUGGGAAUGCAGCUCAAAAUGGGUGGUAAAUUCCAUCUAAAGCUAAAUAUUGGCGAGAGACCGAUAGCGAACAAGUACCGUGAGGGAAAGAUGAAAAGCACUUUGGAAAGAGAGUUAAACAGUACGUGAAAUUGUUGAAAGGGAAACGAUUGAAGUCAGUCGUGUUCAUUGGAUUCAGCUAGUUCUUCUAGUCUACUUCCUUUGAACGGGUCAACAUCAGUUUUGUCCGGUGGAUAAAGGUAUUAGGAAGUGUGAGCUUCUUCGGAAGUGUUAUAGCCUGGUAUCACAUACACUGGGU